AUGACCUUACUUGAACAGGAUCUGUUCUAUAGGCUCGUACAACUGUAUCCUUGAGUGUAAAGGAGACAGGCAACCACUCUGGUUGAUGAUGUAAAAUCUCGAGAUCAGAGCAUGAUUAACGACAAUUGGAAUAAGAACAAGAAUUAUAUUAUGAGUGUUUGGUUUAAAUCGAUAGCCUAAACCAUGAAAACGGGGUUGUGGGAGAGC